CCCCGGAAACAUUUCUUGAUCCGCGCAUGAUCUGCAUGUACAUGUUGCUUUAUCACUCUUGUCUCUGAAAUGAAUGCAUGUGUGAAGAAAAGCCUUGCUACUGUGCAUGUUUAUUGGUUUAAAUUUUUUAUGUAGUUAUGCAUAAAUGAAGUUGUUUCAUUAACAGAAUCCACGUGUCUUCUUAAAAUUAAUUCGAUAAGGAAUCCGGAAUUAAUACGAAAUCGGUUUUAGUUUUGUCGAUGACAAAACAUACGUCACAUUUUUACGUCACGGGGGCAGCAGAUCGAACAUGCAGGAUGAAUUUAGCAGAGGUAUGCAUUGGCUGCUUGACAUAUCCCUGGAAGAGGACAUCAACUAGCUAACGGUCAAUGACAGAUGUCUCUUUGAAUAAUCAAAUGGAUAUGAUACAGAAGUUUCAAAGAUCUGUUUUGAUGUAGCCUGAAGAUUUUGUAAUGAAUGAUCCAGGAUCCAAAUGUUCUUCGCGAAGUUCAGACAGUUGCAAUGUGGUUGCUAAUUUAGUGACAGAUUAAGAAAGAAGUUCAAACAAGCAUUGUCAUGGGAAAACAUUAAAAAGGAAGGAAUUGGAGGUGGACAAAAAUCAGGAUGAAUAUACUAGAGAAACUAUUAAAGCACAGAAGAAUGACAACAAUAUAAAUCUAAAUGUAAUCAUUCAAGGAAUUAAAUUCAUUUUUAAUCUCGAAACUGUCUUUUUUCUGUAACUCUAAUUUUAGAUUAACAAGUAGCUGGAAAUGCAAAAUGAAUGUUUCCAAAGAUCCACUGAAGUUACUGAGUAAUCAAUUGAAGUGAUUCAAGCAGCAAGAUGAAGUAUAUCAUGAAUGAACUGAAAAAUUGAAAAUAUUCAAGUAAUUUAAUUUUAAGCAAUUUACAUGUGAUAUGUAUGUAAUUCAUGUGAAAAACGUACGUUGGAUCCACAUACGUAAAACGUAUGGACUGUAUCACGUAUGUCUAACACACGUGUAACAUACGUUUCACAUAUGUUCAUUAACGUACGUUAAACACACGUGGUACUUAAAUCACGUUAAACGUACGUGAGGUCACAUACGUAUCACACAUGUUUAACGUAUGUGAAACGUAUGUGGCACAUUUUGCUGUGUAGUUCAUGUUUAUUAGUAUUACUGCUAGAAUCCUACUGCUGAUCACAAAAAAUAAAUAUUGUCAUUAUUUAUCGGAAACCCCCUCGACUUCUUCAAUUUCAUUGAAAAUACUGUGUGUUUUUUAUUGACAACAGCACAGGAUUCUAGCAGCACUUUUCAAGUAGUUUUGGUAAUAUGCUUUUGUUACAUGCUGAAUUCAACUUUCAUAAUAUCCAGGGUAGUGUUAUACAUUUGCCUUUUUUGUACACACUGACAGAGGAAAGGCCGGCAAAGCCACACAAAUGUCUGUCUGCUUACAUUAUAACCCUCGCUAAUGAAACAAAAUAUCUAUUCCCGUAUUAUCCUGAUUAUAUCCAAACAGACAUUCAUCUAAAUCUUGUGUAUCAGUAUGAAAUAAGUCUUAUUUCGGCAUUGUUUACACUGCAUUCCGAUGAUUUGUCUAACAUAGUUUCACUCAUUAAUUCCGAGAGCAAAAAGAAAAUAUUGAAAGUUGUUUGUACAGUACAAGUAAGUUAAUUAUUUAGCUUGCGUAAUACAAAUUCUCUAUACUGAAGCUAAAUUAUAAUAACUGUGUAUUCUGGAUAAUUGAAACAUAGGGACAAGCAUAAUGAUAAUAAAAUACUAAUACUACUAAUAACAACUAAUUCUAAUGAUAUAAAAAAAAAUUAUGUUAGGAAAUUUUCAGGAAAUAAAUCCAACUUAGAACCAUUAUAACAAGACCGUGGACUUUUGGUUGGACCUAGCUAUCUAUUUCUUGCGUCAAAACAAGUUAAAAAUGACGCAAUUUCAAGCAAAAUAUGCACCGAUUGCGUAGUCUUGGCUCAGAAGCCAGACAAAUCUUGUUGAUUUCAAAGAGCAAUGGCUGAGUGGCCAGCAAUGAAAUAGUCAGGCCUACGUCACAUUGCUGUUUGACACAACUACCCAAAGUCCACGCUCUUGUUAAAAUGGAUCAAAUGUAUUCAACUGACUGACGUCAACGUCAUUCUUGUAAAAGUUAGAAAGGACUAUAUAUA